rnacentral:tRNA from 1 species
CGCGAUGAGUACCCACACAGAUUGAUACGGUUUAUACAGUAAAGAGAGCACGGGCGUUUCUACACGUUCAAUUGUUUUUCUCGUUCUAAAAACGAAGAAAACACGUUGUCCCGUUCGUCUAGAGGCCUAGGACACCGCCCUUUCACGGCGGUAACAGGGGUUCGACUCCCCUACGGGAUACCAUUUUUAAAUGCAUUUUCUUUGAAUAAAGAAAAUAGAGUGCUUUUAAACAUGGUUUCUUUCACUAGAAAGACAACCACGCUCUUUAACAAUUUGGAAAGCUGACGAAUAACAACAAUCCCCUUAUCCUCGGAUAAGCGUUGUUAUUCAAAUUAAAAGUUCUCAAAUCCUAUUCUCUAUGAGAGUAGGUACCAACACACAUUCAAGUGUUCUUGGGUUUUCACGAAAGUGAAAACAUAUUUGAGUCCGGCAAAAUCGAAGUGUUGUCUCGCUCAUAACAAAGAGACAACAAUAAACCUGGGUUGUUUGCCAUACAUAAGACCUCCUGGGG